GACGAACCGUGCGAACGUUAUUCGGAAUCACUGGGCUUAGAGGGCGCGUAGGCGGGCGGCCAAGUCAGGGGUGAAAGCCCCCAGCUCAACUGGGGAAGUGCCUUUGAUACUGGUUGUCUCGAGGGAGGUAGGGGCGUGCGGAACUUCCGGUGGAGCGGUGAAAUGCGUAGAUAUCGGAAGGAACGCCGGUGGCGAAAGCGGCGCGCUGGACCUCUUCUGACGCUGAGGCGCGAAAGCUAGGGGAGCAAACGGG
rnacentral:rRNA from 1 species